rnacentral:rRNA from 1 species
AUUGAACGCUGGCGGCAUGCCUUACACAUGCAAGUCGAACGGCAGCACGGGUGCUUGCCCCUGGUGGCGAGUGGCGAACGGGUGAGUAAUACAUCGGAACAUGUCCUGUAGUGGGGGAUAGCCCGGCGAAAGCCGGAUUAAUACCGCAUACGAUCUACGGAUGAAAGCGGGGGACCUUCGGGCCUCGCGCUUUCGGGUUGGCCGAUGGCUGAUUAGCUAGUUGGUGGGGUAAAGGCCUACCAAGGCGACGAUCAGUAGCUGGUCUGAGAGGACGACCAGCCACACUGGGACUGAGACACGGCCCAGACUCCUACGGGAGGCAGCAGUGGGGAAUUUUGGACAAUGGGCGAAAGCCUGAUCCAGCAAUGCCGCGUGUGUGAAGAAGGCCUUCGGGUUGUAAAGCACUUUUGUCCGGAAAGAAAUCCUUGGCCCUAAUACGGUCGGGGGAUGACGGUACCGGAAGAAUAAGCACCGGCUAACUACGUG